UACGAGGGGGGCAAGCGUUGUUCGGAAUUAUUGGGCGUAAAGGGCGCGUAGGCGGUUUGACAAGUCUGAUGUGAAAUCUAUGGGCUCAACCCAUAGUCUGCAUUGGAAACUGUCGGGCUUGAGUAUGGGAGAGGUGAGUGGAAUUUCCGGUGUAGCGGUGAAAUGCGUAGAUAUCGGAAGGAACACCUGAGGCGAAAGCGGCUCACUGGACCAUAACUGACGCUGAGGCGCGAAAGCUAGGGGAGCAAACAGG
rnacentral:rRNA from 1 species